rnacentral:rRNA from 1 species
UACGGGGGGGGCAAGCGUUGUUCGGAAUUACUGGGCGUAAAGGGCGCGUAGGCGGCCUGCUAAGUCGGACGUGAAAUCCCUCGGCUCAACCGAGGAACUGCGUCCGAUACUGGUGGGCUUGAAUCCGGGAGAGGGAUGUAGAAUUCCAGGUGUAGCGGUAAAAUGCGUAGAUAUCUGGAGGAACACCGGUGGCGAAGGCGGCAUCCUGGACCGGUAUUGACGCUGAGGCGCGAAAGCUAGGGGAGCAAACGGG